AACGAACGCUGGCGGCAUGCCUAACACAUGCAAGUCGAACGAGACCUUCGGGUCUAGUGGCGCACGGGUGCGUAACGCGUGGGAACCUGCCCUUAGGUUCGGAAUAACUCCCCGAAAGGGGUGCUAAUACCGGAUAAUGUCUUCGGACCAAAGAUUUAUCGCCUUUGGAUGGCCCGCGUUUGAUUAGCUAGUUGGUAGGGUAAAAGCCUACCAAGGCGACGAUCCAUAGCUGGUCUGAGAGGAUGAUCAGCCACACUGGGACUGAGACACGGCCCAGACUCCUACGGGAGGCAGCAGUGGAGAAUAUUGGACAAUGGGCGAAAGCCUGAUCCAGCAAUGCCGCGUGAGUGAUGAAGGCCUUAGGGUUGUAAAGCUCUUUUACCCGGGAUGAUAAUGACAGUACCGGGAGAAUAAGCUCCGGCUAACUCCGUG
rnacentral:rRNA from 1 species